rnacentral:rRNA from 1 species
AACGAACGCUGGCGGCAGGCUUAACACAUGCAAGUCGAGCGCCCGCAAGGGGAGCGGCGGACGGGUGAGUAACGCGUGGGGAAUCUACCGUGCCCUACGGAAUAGCUCCGGGAAACUGGAAUUAAUACCGUAUACGCCCUACGGGGGAAAGAUUUAUCGGGGUAUGAUGAGCCCGCGUUGGAUUAGCUAGUUGGUGGGGUAAAGGCCUACCAAGGCGACGAUCCAUAGCUGGUCUGAGAGGAUGAUCAGCCACAUUGGGACUGAGACACGGCCCAAACUCCUACGGGAGGCAGCAGUGGGGAAUAUUGGACAAUGGGCGCAAGCCUGAUCCAGCCAUGCCGCGUGAGUGAUGAAGGUCUUAGGAUUGUAAAGCUCUUUCACCGGUGAAGAUAAUGACGGUAACCGGAGAAGAAGCCCCGGCUAACUUCGUG